rnacentral:tRNA from 1 species
ACUGUUAUAGUUUAUAAAAAAUAAUGAAUUGUGGUUUCAUAGAAAAUUAAUAGUA